rnacentral:tRNA from 1 species
GGGUUAGGAGAGGGCCGAGGUAACACUGGCAGUGUUGAGGUCAGCGGUUCGAUCCCGCUAGGCUCCACCA